CCUACGGGUGGCACCAGUGGGGAAUAUUGCACAAUGGGCGCAAGCCUGAUGCAGCCAUGCCGCGUGUAUGAAGAAGGCCUUAGGGUUGUAAAGUACUUUCAGUUGGGAGGAAGGCGUUGAUGCUAAUAUCAUCAACGAUUGACGUUACCAACAGAAGAAGCACCGGCUAACUCCGUGCCAGCAGCCGCGGUAAUACGGAGGGUGCAGGCGUUAAUCGGAAUUACUGGGCGUAAAGCGCACGCAGGCGGUUGAUUAAGUUAGAUGUGAAAUCCCCGGGCUUAACCUGGGAAUGGCAUCUAAGACUGGUCAGCUAGAGUCUUGUAGAGGGGGGUAGAAUUCCAUGUGUAGCGGUGUAGUGCGUAGAGAUGUGGAGGAAUACCGGUGGCGAAGGCGGCCCCCUGACAAAGACUGACGCUCAGGUGCGAAAGCGUGGGGAGCAAACAGGAUUAGAUACCCCGGUAGUC
rnacentral:rRNA from 1 species